GUCAACUUUUAUCUCAUCCAAAUUGCAAAGCACUAAAACCACUUGUGUUUGUUGUUUUGUACCAUCCACCAGGCCCUUAUUCUCAAUUUUUAGAUCAGUUCUCAGACUUCUUAUCUGAUUUAGUGUUCAAUACAGAUGGCUUAUUAUAGUGGCCUACUGUUGUAUAAAAAGACACUUCGCCAAGCAAGAAUAGCUUAUUUCUCAUCAUUAAUAGAAUAGAACAAGAAUAAUCCUAGGUUUCUUUUUAGUACAGUUGCUAAACUUACACAGAGUCAUAGCUCUGCUGAGCCAUCCAUUCCCCCAGCUCUCAGCAGUAAUGACUUAAUGGAAUUCUUUUUAAAUAAAAUUGAUCCUAUUACAAAUGAAAUGAUUGGCAUACUCCCGAACAUGAUUACUUCAUCCUCAGUGUGUGAGAGAGCAUUGGAGAAUCUGAUUUGUGUUUGGACUGCUUUGAUCCAUUGGAGCUUCCUGAGUUAUCAAAAAUACUGUUGGGGUUUCGGGCGCCUGGUGUUGCUGUCUCCUCCUGUGACCACCAGAGGCCGUCGAAGAGCAUGAGGAGUUGGCCAGUUACAGGUGUUGCUCAUCCAGAGCUCGUUAGGGCUCACCUGGAAGGAGUAUUUAGGAGCCAAGCCGCAAGUCCUUCUUUGGCUGAGUGUUUUGCCAAUGUGGUAACGUCAAGCCCUCGUGUACUUUGGCUUUGCGCUGUACUUUGAAGUAUUCACAUUGUUCUUUCUACUUCAGAUUCUGUACCUGUGAGGUGUGGGCGGACCCGGGACCAUCUCCAGACCAAAUCCCUAAGGACCAACAAAUCUGUAGCUAAUGUUCCGGUUACAAGUAUCGGUCUGGCGGACUGGUUCUGGAUCUCAGCACUCCCCCUGACUUCUGAGGACAAAAACCAGACUGCCAUAGCCGCUGGUUGGUGAGGGAUAAUGCACCUGAACUCCUCUGACCCCUCCAUGGACACUAGCACCCUAGGACCCCUGCUGGAUUACCUCCCACUACCCUAGAACUACCAGAACAAAAAUUCCUGAGACGCCUCGUGCCCAAGGCUGUGAUUGUUUCACUGGGCCUGAUUGGUGUUAGAACUAAGCUGCAGAGAAUAAACUGGUUAAACUGC